rnacentral:rRNA from 1 species
UACGUAGGGGGCUAGCGUUGUCCGGAAUCAUUGGGCGUAAAGCGCGUGUAGGCGGUCCGGUAAGUCCGCUGUGAAAGUCGGGGGCUCAACCCUCGGAUGCCGGUGGAUACUGUCGGGCUUGAGUACGGAAGAGGCGAGUGGAAUUCCUGGUGUAGCGGUGAAAUGCGCAGAUAUCAGGAGGAACACCGGUGGCGAAGGCGGUGGUCUGGGCCGGCACUGACGCUGAGGAGCGAAAGCGUGGGGAGCAAACAGG